GCGGAGAGAUCCAGCGCUGUUAUUCCUACUGAUUGCCGCUUGGUGGCGCUGUGAGAGCAUUAUCCAGCUCCUCCCUGGGUUAUCCGGCUUUAUUCCCGAUCAUAUGACUUGUCGGAGUCCGGGAACCUCCGCUGCCGUCGUGUAACUUUGCGCCUCGGCAAGUCAUGGCAUGCGGGGGCUGCUGCAAGGAGGUGUAUAGCUGUGUAUUUGAUUAUAACACCCCGCGUAUUGCGCUCAUCAAGAGCAGGAAGGUUGGUCUUCUGAACAGAGUGAUCCAGCUGGCGAUCCUCGCCUAUGUCAUUGGGUGGGUUUUUGUCUGGGAAAAGGGCUACCAGGAAUUUGACACAGUGGUCAGCUCCGUGACGUCUAAAGUGAAAGGGGUUGCAGUCACCAACACCUCAGAGCUUGGCUCCAGAAUCUGGGAUGUGGCUGAUUACAUCAUACCUGCUCAGGAAGAAAAUGCCUUCUUUGUGAUGACCAACCUAAUCAUUACGCAAAAUCAGACCCAAGAACUCUGUCCUGAAUUACCAGACAGUACGACUACUUGCACCUCUGAUCGUGACUGCAUUCCUGGAUUUGUGGGUACACACAGCAAUGGUGUGCAGACUGGAAAAUGUGUCCCUUUUAACAAAACAGUCAAAACCUGUGAAGUUUUUGCCUGGUGUCCGGUGGAAAAUGAUACCUACCUGCCAAAACCUGCCUUUCUCAAGGAAGCUGAAAACUUCACAGUUCUCAUCAAGAAUAAUAUCUGGUUUCCAAAAUUUAACUUUUCCAAGAGAAACAUUUUGGCCAAUAUCAGUGCCAGCUACCUGAAAACCUGUGUUUAUGACCGGCUGCACGACCCAUUCUGCCCCAUAUUCCAUCUGGGCAGCAUAGUGAGUGAAGCAGGAGAAUCCUUCCAGGAUAUGGCAAUACAGGGUGGAGUUAUGGGGAUACAAAUUAAAUGGAACUGCGAUCUUGAUCAGAGGUUUUCAAAAUGUGUUCCAAGGUACUCAUUCCGGCGUCUAGACAACAGGGAAUUGGAUCACAAUGUGUCUCCUGGCUAUAACUUCAGGUUUGCAAAAUAUUACAAGAACAGUAAUGACGUGGAAUCGAGGACACUGAUGAAAGUUUAUGGAAUCCGUUUUGACAUCCUGGUUUUUGGCACUGCUGGGAAAUUCGAUAUUAUUCCAACAAUGAUUAACAUAGGGUCGGGACUUGCGUUGUUUGGAGUGGUAAGUUUUGAAGGCAACAGUGCUCUGCGAUAUCAUUGUCUUCCAUUUCUUUAAGAAGAGAUAUUACUACAGAGAGAAAAAAUACAAACAUGUUGAGGAUUAUGACGAGCUGGGAGGUAACGACGCAUAUGGAUCCAAUCCUUGAUGAAAGGAGUACUUGGAUGAGCUGUAUUUAGUUAAUUAAUGCGAUGUAUAACAGAAUGUGCAUUCCAGAAUACUUUGUCUCCUCCGCAAGCGUUGGUGGAAAAGCAGAUCUUUUGAAUCCCUAAGUGAAUGAGCAUAUUAUUCCAUCAUCAUCACCAUGCCUUGUUUAAUAAACAGGUGAAGGUGAUUGUAGAAAAUGUAGUAACUUAAACCGUGUCAUUACCGUCUAGUGAUAAAACAAAUGCUGGGUUUUUACAUUGAGCGUCAUUUUACUUGUAUAUUUUGCACAGUGAUGCCCAACACACAAUGAUUAUAUCUUGCAUAGUGAUUACACCAGGAAAUUGGAGACUUCUACAGCAACAAAAACUGUAAUGUGAUAACCGUACAUUGUAUUACAAGUAUGUCCUGAUAUAUUAAAUUACAUAGGAAUCCUGGGUAGUGACAAUUGUUGGCUUUUAUAUUGAAAUACACAAAAAAUGUACUAUUAUCUAUACUUAUGUAGAUAAAAGGGAUUUUCUAUAUAACGCAUAGAGAUUGUCACCCAAGAUAAGAAAAUAAGAAACUGUCUUUCUUUUAGUCUAUGCAGACAUCACGUUACUUCACUAAUAUUGCACUUUAUAAGCUAUUUCCACCUCUCUGGUCAACAUUAAAUCCAAUUCUCCACCACAGAAUGACAGCGGAGGAUAUCAGAGUGUUAAUCGAGACGGAAAGAGGAAAGCACGUUUUAACCGUGCGCUUGAAACACCACCUUUUCUAAAAAUGUGAAACGCAUUUAUUCAUCCUUCCCCUUGCAACCGAUGAUACUGAAAUGCAAUUAUACAUUAUUUUUCUAUUCUUGGAAAUAAAAUUCUGUAAAAAUGG